AUGUCAAGUUGUGCGAAAGUGAAACAUCUCCCGCUCGCCAAGGUCGGAAAGGGGGCACACUGGUUGACUGGUUGAAUUUUUCGGGUGCUUCCGGGUUUUUGUUACUUCUUGCCGCCGUGGGCCAAUGCCAAAUAGACGCGAAACGUCACUCAGUGUCACAGGAGUAGAACGGCCGCACCUUUGCUCGAAACCAUCUGCUCAUCAGCUGAUCAAGAAGAGCGCUGGGCUGGGCGUUAGUGCCCAUAGCAUGUCCGAGAGUUCGCGAGUAUUCACGUAACGACACUUGGGGGAAGAAUUCUUCAGCGGCAUCAGCUGUCAAUCAGUCGUCGGAUUUCCGUCUUGAUGCGUACAUUUCUUACCAAGCUGACCAUCAGUGAUGGGUGUGUAUGUGUUUAUUUUAAAACGCAACGCUAGCUCUACUCGUCUUCCAAAAAUACUCCACCAAGCAUGCCUUGACCCAGCUGGGUGGUCCACGGAAGGAGCUGAACAGCUGAUGAUAGAACCCAUUGUUUAGCAUUGUUUUGGGAAUAGAAACUCAUGUAAUAUCCCAACAUGUUGUCUAAUUAAUACUACAAAACCGAGUUCUCAAAUACAUGAGUUUUGCUACAAAAACCUACGAAGUCAUCCCCGGUGUCCGGAAGACUAUACUGUAUCCUGCCAGCAGUUGAACGCAGUUGCUCCGGUUCCCGCAAUCUACGCCCCCUCCGCACUGGUGAAUAAUGUAGUAAAGCCUGUGUACAACCAGGAGCAAAGAUUCUUGUUCACCCCCGGACAAGAAGCGAAUGUAAUACCUGUUUCCGCACCCGAGAGCAAGGGACCUCCCUAACCCGAGCUAUAUGAGAGGAAGUGAACAACUAAUCGAACACACGACGGCUUGGUAUUACUGCUUCCCUUCUUUGGUGCCCGGUAGAGCUGGUUGGCGCAUUUUGAAUUGUAAAUUGGAACACUUGGCCUGCACUUGGGCGGCCGAAGGAUGUAGCAUUUAGUAAAAGCGGGCAUAGGAAAUCGGUUCGUUUGUCGCGCUUGAAGAGUUGACGAACUCUCGCGAUGGGUAGUGUACCACACAGCAUCAACUCCACUGGGUGCCAAGGAACGGCGGGCAAAUGCCAUGGCAACCAGAGCAAACCGUCAGCAAAUGCAAAUGCCUUUAUGCAAAUCGUGCCUGCUCAAGAACCUUAGAACUGCUGCUCGUAUCCAAUGUUCCCGUUCCGAGGUCUCUUGGUACAUCUACCAGGAACUGUGUCUGACUGCCAUUUGAAGAAGAAGUGUAGCGAUUCCUAGCCCCGUCACGCCGUAUUGGAGUUCGAUUGAAGAAGAGCAACAAUCGUUGCCCUCCGGACCACACUUUAUCUUUUCCCUUGCACCUUGGAAGAUGCAAUGCAAUUAGCUUCCUGCGAAUCACGAUAAAAAGAAAGAACCGGUGAAAUGGAAAUUCCUCGUUUCGAAAACCAAUAAUAUGGAUAUAUGUUUCACGCCACGUUUGGCCGGUCAUCGGCCUUCAGCCUGGGCUUGCUGCCUCCUUCUCCUCCUGCUCGAUGACAUCUUCGCGCGCGCGAUGAUAAAGUGGGACAAUUUGCCCACCUUCUGCUUUCUUCUGGAGGGAGUGAAAGCCACUCCAGCCCGGAGAAUAAUAUUCACACAUCGUGGAAGGAUUGAUGGCAAUGUCUUUAUGGGGACUCGCUUACGACGGAGCUGCAACCAAGACCAGCUGCUGGACCACGCGUGUGUAUAGGGGCAAACCGUUCGUCAGGACCCGAGCACGAGCUAAUGGUUGGUGUAAGCAGGAGCGCAAGCGGAGAGAUGUUUUACGAUUUGCAAACACAACCGUUCGAUUGCAUUCGGAUGCAAUCUUCUUAGGGCUGGA